AGAGUUUGAUCAUGGCUCAGGACGAACGCUGGCGGCGUGCCUAAUACAUGCAAGUCGAGCGAAUCGAUGGGAGCUUGCUCCCUGAGAUUAGCGGCGGACGGGUGAGUAACACGUGGGCAACCUGCCUAUAAGACUGGGAUAACUUCGGGAAACCGGAGCUAAUACCGGAUACGUUCUUUUCUCGCAUGAGAGAAGAUGGAAAGACGGCCUCUAGCUGUCACUUAUAGAUGGGCCCGCGGCGCAUUAGCUAGUUGGUGAGGUAAUGGCUCACCAAGGCGACGAUGCGUAGCCGACCUGAGAGGGUGAUCGGCCACACUGGGACUGAGACACGGCCCAGACUCCUACGGGAGGCAGCAGUAGGGAAUCUUCCGCAAUGGACGAAAGUCUGACGGAGCAACGCCGCGUGAACGAAGAAGGCCUUCGGGUCGUAAAGUUCUGUUGUUAGGGAAGAACAAGUACCAGAGUAACUGCUGGUACCUUGACGGUACCUAACCAGAAAGCCACGGCUAACUACGUGCCAGCAGCCGCGGUA
rnacentral:rRNA from 1 species